rnacentral:rRNA from 1 species
GGAUAAUAUUUUGAACCGCAUGGUUCAAAAGUGAAAGACGGUCUUGCUGUCACUUAUAGAUGGAUCCGCGCUGCAUUAGCUAGUUGGUAAGGUAACGGCUUACCAAGGCAACGAUGCAUAGCCGACCUGAGAGGGUGAUCGGCCACACUGGAACUGAGACACGGUCCAGACUCCUACGGGAGGCAGCAGUAGGGAAUCUUCCGCAAUGGGCGAAAGCCUGACGGAGCAACGCCGCGUGAGUGAUGAAGGUCUUCGGAUCGUAAAACUCUGUUAUUAGGGAAGAACAUAUGUGUAAGUAACUGUGCACAUCUUGACGGUACCUAAUCAGAAAGCCACGGCUAACUACGUGCCAGCAGCCGCGGUAAUACGUAGGUGGCAAGCGUUAUCCGGAAUUAUUGGGCGUAAAGCGCGCGUAGGCGGUUUUUUAAGUCUGAUGUGAAAGCCCACGGCUCAACCGUGGAGGGUCAUUGGAAACUGGAAAACUUGAGUGCAGAAGAGGAAAGUGGAAUUCCAUGUGUAGCGGUGAAAUGCGCAGAGAUAUGGAGGAACACCAGUGGCGAAGGCGACUUUCUGGUCUGUAACUGACGCUGAUGUGCGAAAGCGUGGGGAUCAAACAGGAUUAGAUACCCUGGUAGUCCACGCCGUAAACGA